UCUCUCUCUCUGUAUAUAUAUUGCACACAAUUUCUAUUUCUGCAUUAAAAACUGGUGUUCAAUUUUGAAGUGUUUCUUGUGGGAAGGUUGGUGUUACUGUCUGUCCCUUUUUUUGGCUCAUUUUAUUUAUUACCAAGUACUGAUUGCGUCAAGUGGUAUCAAUCCGAUCCGAAUUAUUAUUUUUUCUUGCUUUAGGUUUGGUGUUAUUAUUAGUCUUGGUGGCUACUUUCUUGAUUACAAGAUACUGGUGGUGUCUAAGCCGUUGGGGCACAUGAACUGAGUGGUCCUGGGGUCUCUACCUGUUUCAUGUACUGUUGUCAUAAUUGUAAACUUCUACUGAGUCUUCUUUAAAAGGAUUUGUGUUAUUGUGAGCCAAAAAAGACUUUUGAAAUGUUCUUUGAAAGGCGUAGUGUUCCUGUUCCUGUCAUUCCUUUUUGGCUAAUUUCUUGAUUUUGCGCAAUGUACAUCGUUGCAAAACAAAAUUCGGAAUAUACGCAAACACUGACAAGGGAUCCCGUGUAGAUGUCAGUAUCCACACAUUGGUAUGGUGCCUCAAGAACUCUAUUCAAGUAGAUGAUUUAGCACGGACAAUUCCUCCUGUUAGAGGUGCAGCGUUCAGACUGUAUCUUGUCACAGAAUCUUAUGGGAAAUGCUCAAAGAUGAAUCCGAAUAAGCCUCUGCCUUGACUGAGCGACCCUUCUCUUUUAGAGUGCAACUCGCACAGAAGAUUCUUAAAUAGGCGAGUGUUCCCGUCUUCUCAAGGAUUGGCAUCACCAGUGGACGGAUGUCUGAGAUGCAGAGAAGAGGACGAAAUCCUUUUGUCUUUUAUUUAAGUAGCUUCAAAGUCAAGCCGUAGCGCGCAGUCAAGGCCAGGAGGAGGCAAGGGAAGUUUCUUUUGGGAAGCAAGCCCUCAACUUAUCCGCUUAUCGGAAAGAGCAGGGACCUACAGACAGCAAACUUCUUGGCACCUGAUUCUGGGUCAUAUCUAUUCUUAGCCAUGUUUAUCAAAAUCCCAUUCCAUAUUUGCUUACUUUAGCUGAAUUUUAACUGGGCUGCCUGGUCAAACUCUCUUUUGCGUCAACUAUGUGUGAGAUUUUAAGCUUGUUAUGUCGGCAGCGUAGUUCAUUAUUCAUACUUUGAGAAACCUUGUUGCAGUAAAAAUUCCG